CAAUAGCGUAUAUUAAAGUUGUUGCAGUUAAAACGCUCGUAGUCGGAUUUCGGGGCGGGUCCGCCGGUCUGCCGAUGGGUACGCACUGGCGGGCGCGUCCUUUCCUUCCGGAGACUGGCCCUACUCUUAGCUGAGCGGGGUCGGGAGUCGGAUCGUUUACUUUGAAAAAAUCAGAGUGUUUCAAGCAGGCAGCUCGCUCUUGCAUGGAUUAGCAUGGGAUAAUGAAAUAGGACUUUGGUGCUAUUUUGUUGGUUUCGAACACCGAAGUAAUGAUUAACAGGGACAGUCAGGGGCACUCGUAUUCCGCCGAGAGAGGUGAAAUUCUCAGACCAGCGGAAGACGAACCACUGCGAAANCANNNGCCAGGGAUGUUUUCACNGA
rnacentral:rRNA from 1 species